rnacentral:lncRNA from 1 species
AUUCUUUGUCUUGUCGGUGAGUGAGUUACAGUCGGAUGACCAAGUGAAAUAUAGGGGUGCAACGAGGAUUUGGAGGCUUCUGAGACUUGAACUUAGGGUACUGGUGUAAACUUCCUCGGAGAAGUGCGCAGCAGCUAAUGAUAUUUCGGGAUUGGAGUCUGGGCCCCAGUGAGAUUCGUACUAAGCGGCCUGACUGAAGGCCGCAUGCGUUCUAGUUCCUGAGUCCCCGCGUGGGUAGGUUUUUACAGCAGGGUUUGCAGCCUUUUGUGCUGUUCCGAAGGUACUAGAGUCACCGAAAGAGACAUCCUAUUAUAUGCACGUUCACAAGGACAAUGGCGCCAUUGUUCUUCGCGUCUUCAAAGCAGCUACAAGAAGAAACCAAGAUGGAGGGGAGCCCAAAGCAUCUGAGAGAAUUGAUAAAUGAAAGAAACAUGCUUAAAACAUGACCGUUUUAAAGGGUGUGUAUUGAAGCCUAGAUUUUUUCCCUUGUAAGCAUGCAAACAUACCGUUGUGAAGUAAGAAUCCGGGUUCCUGGAAAUGUAUUGUGAAGUAGUCCUGGCCAAACUACUCUGGCCUUUGCAAUUUGGAGUGACUGUUGUGAAUGCAUGGUGUACAAAUUGAUUGUACAAACAGUUGUGAGACAUACCGGGUCAGAACAGUGAUGAAAUACAUCCCGAAGAUGAUGACCUGAAGAUAAAUGCAGCUUCUGAGAGAAGACCAUUGUGUUUAAGUGGUAGUCUUGUUAAUGCAGUUCUUACUCAUAGCAUGUCAUGGUACCUCUUUCUGUAGUGAAUGCUGACCAGUGAGAUGCCAGCCUGCGUGUGAAGAUCCUACAGCAGAAGUGCAUGUGAGUGGUGCUCUGUUUUGUUUUCUGCUGAGCUUACUGUCGUUG